UACGUAGGGUGCAAGCGUUGUCCGGAAUUAUUGGGCGUAAAGAGCUCGUAGGCGGUUUGUCGCGUCUGCUGUGAAAGCUCGGGGCUUAACCCCGGGCCUGCAGUGGGUACGGGCAGACUAGAGUGCGGUAGGGGAGACUGGAAUUCCUGGUGUAGCGGUGAAAUGCGCAGAUAUCAGGAAGAACACCCGUGGCGAAGGCGGCUCUCUGGGACGGUACUGACGCUGAGACGCGAAAGCGUGGGGAGCGAACAGG
rnacentral:rRNA from 1 species